AAUAAGGAAAUCCCUUUGAUACCGUCUACAAGACAGCCAUCAGCACAGUGGGCCCUGUUAAACAAAGUCACCAGCAUUGGUCUGCAGAUUGCCAAGACUUCAGCUGGAGUGCAAUUGGGCCUGAGUCCAGGUUGUAUUGGGUUCUGGUGUGCACCAAAUGUUUUCAUUCAAAGAUCAGAAGCUACCUAUAGCACAAUCUUCACACAGACGACCACAAGACGGGCAAGUGGAAAUACACCAUGUCUCUCAUGGCACAUUAUGGAAACACUCACCUCCACCUACUUCACAUUGGCCAGAGGAAGGCAUGUGGCCAAGCCCAACAUCAGUACAACAAGGAAAUAUGAUGUUCCUACUCCAGUGGGAGGAGCUGAAAAGUCACAUGGCAGAAGACAUGGAUGUAUAAUUCUCACACAGGAGGAAGAGAAGUGUUUGGGAAAAUAAUAUAAUCUACUACAAAUACAUGACUGCUCACGAGGCUUAAGUGAGGGGGCAGAGAAAGUAAACAGAUAAUUAUUAAGCUAGAUGGAAAUUCACUCAAUAAUUUUUAAUGAAGUUAGAUUUACUGAAUAUAUUUUAAAAUCAUAUUCACUGGGUGGGCGUGGUGGAUCAUGCCUGUAAUCCCAGCACUUUGGGAGGCUGAGGCAGGUGAUGAGUCCAGGAGUUCGAGACCAGCCUGGGCAACAUGGCAAAACCUUGACUCUUCAAAAAAUACAAAAAUUAACAGGACGUGGUGGCACAUGCCUGUAGUCCCAGCCACUUGGGAGGCUGAGGUAGGAGGAUCACAUGAGCCAAGGAGGUGGAGGUUGCAGUGUGAUCACAUCACUGCACUCUAGCCUGGGUGACAGAGUGAAACCCUGUCUCAAAAUAAAAUAAAU
rnacentral:lncRNA from 10 species